rnacentral:rRNA from 1 species
CCAAUCGAACCCGGAGAUAGCUGGUUCUCCUCGAAAUAGCUUUAGGGCUAGCCUCAUGAGAGUCUUAUGGAGGUAGAGCACUGAAUUGCCUAGGGGGCGUCAAAGCUUACCAAAGCAUAUCAAACUCCGAAUGCCAUCAAGAUGAUUCAUGGGAGUCAGACCAUACGAGAUAAGUUGGAUGGUCAAAAGGGAAAGAGCCCAGACCUACAGCUAAGGUCCCAAAGUGCGUGUUAAGUGGAAAAGGAUGUGGGAUUUCGAAGACAACUAGGAUGUUGGCUCAGAAGCAGCCACACAUUCAAAGAGUGCGUAAUAGCUCACUAGUCGAGAGGUCCUGCGCCGAAAAUGUCCGGGGCUGAAACACGACACCGAAGCACAGGAUACCGCAAGGUAUGGUAGAGGAGCAUUGCUGGCGCGACGAAGCAGUACCGUAAGGAGCUGUGGAGUGCCAGGAAGAGAGAAUGCCGGAAUGAGUAGCGAGAGAGAGGUGGGAAUCCUCUCGGCCGAAUAUCCAAGGUUUCCAGGGUAAAGCUGAUCUGCCCUGGGUAAGUCGGGGCCUAAGGAGAGGCAGAAAUGCGUAUCCGAUGGACAGCAGGUUGAGAUUCCUGCACUAUCUUAAAACAGAACUGUGGGGACAUUUGUGGAGAGCACAGGCGCGGAACGGAAAGCCGCGUGCAAGCGAAGGAGGAGUCACAUAGGAAAAACCGUGUGGCAAUCCAAAGGCGUGAUGCGGACCGAACUAAAGUAGGGAAGUGUGUGAGCCAUGAAUCAAGAAAAGCCGCUAUUGUUUUUAAGAUACCCGUACCGUAAACCGACACAGGUGGAUGAGGAGAGAAUCCUAAGGCCGGCGGAAGAAGCAUUGUCAAGGAACUCGGCAAAAUGGCCCCGUAACUUAGGGAUAAGGGGUGCCUGGGAAACCAGGCCGCAGAGAAUAGGCUCAAGCAACUGUUUAGCAAAAACACAGGUCUAUGCGAAACCGAAAGGUGAGGUAUAUGGGCUGACGCCUGCCCGGUGCUGGAAGGUUAAGAGGAGAGGUUAGCGGUAACGCGAAGCUUUGAAUUUAAGCCCCAGUAAACGGCGGCCGUAACUAUAACGGUCCUAAGGUAGCGAAAUUCCUUGUCGGGUAAGUUCCGACCCGCACGAAAGGCGUAAUGAUUUGAGCGCUGUCUCGACAAUGCACCCGGUGAAAUUGAAGUACCAGUGAAGAUGCUGGUUACCUGCGCCAGGACGGAAAGACCCCAUGGAGCUUUACUCCAGUCUGGUACUGGGACUCGGUAUUGCAUGUACAGGAUAGGUGGGAGGCUAGGAGAUGGUAACGCCAGUUGCCAUGGAGCCGCUGUUGGGAUACCACCCUUGCAGUAUUGGGUUUCUAACCAGCCGCCGUGACCCGGCGGUGGGACAAUGCCAGACGGGGAGUUUGACUGGGGCGGUCGCCUCCGAAAGGGUAUCGGAGGCGCUCAAAGGUUCCCUCAGAAUGGUCGGAAACCAUUCGAAGAGUGCAAAGGCAGAAGGGAGCUUGACUGCGACACCG